AAACAUGCGGAUGUUGUAACAAUCGCAAGUGAAAAUUUUACCGAAAAUCCUAAGGAGAGUGAUAAUGAGGAGGUUCAGGUGAGAAGAGAGUAGAGAUUGAGAAAGAACCACCAACACCACCCGAGAGGGAGGUUUUCAAAGAGGUAGAGAAGGAAGAACUAUGUGUUAUUCCUCCUCCCUAUAAAUCACAAAUCCCUUUCCCGCGAAGGUCUGUGGAAGUUAAGAUAGACCCCAAAAUCCGAAAGUAAUGAAGAGGUAUCAGAAAAU
rnacentral:lncRNA from 1 species